AGGUGGGCAAAGCAUUGGAUGAG
rnacentral:misc_RNA from 1 species